GGCGGCGGCAAGCGCUGGGUGCCGGGAGCCGGGAGCGCAGCUUUAUAGCGCGCUGAUAGACGGGGUCAGUUGGAGCGGCCGGGGCCAGCGGUGGGGGGCCCGGCCUGCCACCUUGCCUUAUUUGGUCGCUUUAGCACCAUCUAGGCCUGCCAAGGCCAUUCAUGGAGCCAAGGGCAAGAGAGAGGAUCAGCUGGGGGGCUCCCGGACCAUCAAGCUCCCCAUUUGAUUGGCACGUAUGUUGAAGUGUGACACACUGGUAGAAAUGACUGAUACCAUCUCAUUGGUGGAAAACAGGUUUCGAAGAAUCGAGACAUGUGAGAAGGAAAAAGAAAGAUGGCAUGAGGAGGCAAAGCUAGAUCUCUCGUGACUCAGGCAGAUGGAGAAGAAGCAAAGAAAAGGAGAAACAGGGAUGGCCUUAGAGCCAGACAGGCCAAACUUCAAAUCCUGCCUCUGUCACUUGGCACUCACUCUGUAUGCAUUUCAUCAUAGGAAACUCCCUUGCAGUUUGAGUGAGCCUGCUUCAUAUAUCCUAGGAGGCAGGGAACCUCAGAACCGCAUCUGCCUGCAGCCACACAGUUGAGCAAAUGGAAGAGAGAGACUUCAAACCCAGGCACUUGGGUGAAGCCCUGUUGGUAAUCAGCACCAAAAAUGCCCUUCUGUCUACUGAGACUGCUGUUUCUCAGAUGAGGAGGCUAGAAUCACCUGCACCCUGGCUGCCUAAUAGAAAUUCAAAUUCCUAUGUUCUACCCUAGAAAUCUGAAUCCGCAUUUUAAAUGAGCCUUCAGCCCCCCUUCCCCAGGUAAGUCUCUCCUUUUUCCACCACAGGCUUUCUUCCCUGAGCCCAUGCAGCUUUGCUAGAUGCAGCCCAGGCUGCCAGUGCUGGCCAGUGUCCAGUUUGGCUGACCUUGUUCACCCCAGUGGGAUGGCAAAGCUGAUAGGUCCGCAGGGUACUGGAGGGCCAGCAAGGCCUUUCACAGCACAGACAUGCCAUGAGGGUGAUGUGCAAGGCAAGCUGAAGGAACAGAAGGUAGGACAGUCCCCG
rnacentral:lncRNA from 1 species